CUAGGUUUGGGUUUGGACUGCACAGGGAGGUCAGGAACAAUAGGUCUGGAGAAACGAGGUGCUAAUGACAUAGCCAUAUGUCUGGUUCUAUUUCUGGUAGUUUCUCUGGUUCUAAGUCUAUCAUCAAUCUUCAUGACAAACGUGAUAAAUUCAUUUAACAUUUUAGGUAGAUCUUUGGCAGCAAUCUCAUCCAGAAUUGCCUUGGAUAAUCCUAUUUUAAACACAGAGAUUAACCUGCUAUUAGUCCAGUCUACCUCAGAAAUCAAAGUGCGAAAUUCUAUGGCAUAAUCUAAAAUAGACCGGUUCCCUUGUUUGAUAUGCAUUAGGGCAGUGGAGGCGUCAUCCUCCCUACCUAACGGUUCAAAUGUUAAUUUGAAUUCCUCAAGGAAUUCCUGGUAAUUAUAUGCAAUAUAUUACUCUCCCAUAAAGGAUCGGCCCAAGCUAAGGCUUUACCUUUUAUUUGGUUCAUUAUGUAACCAAUCCUAGCUCUAUCCAAAGAUCCCGGUGAAGCCUCAAAGUGGUAUUCAAUUUGAUUUAGAAAUCCCUGGCAUUCUUGAAUAUUACCAUCAAAAUGCGAGGAAGGAGAUAGGGAGAUAGUAGGUGCCUUAAAUACUAUAGGCGGAGGUACUUUAGGCAGAGGUGACAUAGACGGACAUUCAUUGAAACUUCACUCUACAAAGCUCAAAUUUGAAGUGCAAUUUCUAAACUGUGACUGUGCCUUCAUUUUUAAUACUUCAGAGACAAACUAUGCAUCAAAAUGUAGGUCUGGG